rnacentral:rRNA from 1 species
CCUACGGGAGUCAGCAGUGGGGAAUAUUGCACAAUGGGGGAAACCCUGAUGCAGCGACGCCGCGUGAGUGAAGAAGUAAUUCGUUAUGUAAAGCUCUAUCAGCAGGGAAGAAAAUGACGGUACCUGAGUAAGAAGCCCCGGCUAACUACGUGCCAGCAGCCGCGGUAAUACGUAGGGGGCAAGCGUUAUCCGGAUUUACUGGGUGGAAAGGGAGCGUAGACGGCAGUGCAAGUCUGGAGUGAAAGGCGGGGGCUCAACCCCCGGACUGCUCUGGAAACUGUACGGCUGGAGUGCAGGAGAGGUAAGUGGAAUUCCUAGUGUAGCGGUGAAAUGCGUAGAUAUUAGGAGGAACACCAGUGGCGAAGGCGGCUUACUGGACUGUAACUGACGUUGAGGCUCGAAAGCGUGGGGAGCAAACAGGAUUAGAUACCCUAGUAGUC